CCUGAACCUGCUCCCGGAGCCUGCGCCAGCUUCCUGAGCCUGAAGAGGAGGCCUGGCCGGUGUUCCCGGAGGGCCCUGAAGUCACUCACCCCCAGAGCAUCUGUCGCUCAAGGGGGUCCUUUUCCGGGGGACUCUCCCUUUCUGGGGAGGUUCUCCUCAUGUCGAGUCCAGCGGCUCCUCAGUUGCACCCAGCACAGGGCCAGGUCUGGUCACAGCUGUCCUGGGCUCUGUGUAGAGAGGUGAAAAAGCGGAAGAUGGGAUCCCUGCCCUGAAGGAGCCUUAGUCUAUUCAUCUGCUAAGUGGGCUUAGGAAGAAGACAAGGGUCACUCAAGAACAAGGAGAGAAUUCUGCUGGGCUUGUACAGCUGGAGAACGGGAGCCCCUGAGAGCAAGGAGCUUGCUUGUUAUGUCUACUGAUGGAUUUUGAAAGUCCAGGACAGCACGUGGCUGGUACAUAGUAGGGCUUCAGGAAUAUUUGUUGAGUGAAUAAAUGAAUUGGGAGGUGAAUAAAUGAAUGAGUAAGUG
ensembl:lncRNA